rnacentral:lncRNA from 1 species
CGGCAGGCGGCGCUGCAGGCCUCAGCGGCCGCGGCUGGAUAGGGCUGCUUAAGAGAGAAGCAGUACCACAGCAAGGGAGCUCGGCUUCCCUCAGCGCAGCGCCUGCUGGGAGGGGCCAGAAGAUAACGGCACGGCUGCGCUGAAGUGCUGCCGUUGAGCUCAGGUAACGAAGUGCACGUGGGUGCUUUCACAUCCCAGUGUUCCCCCGCUCAGCAUCGCGCUUUGACUUGUGCAGCACCUAAACCAUAGCAGCACCUCAUGAAUGCUGCCAACCAUCGCUUCCAGGGGAGCUCUUCAUUAUUUUACUGAAAUUGUCACUGAAAUGGCAGCAAUUGGCUAUGAGAUCAGCCUCCUAAACGAGAAGCAAACAACAUUUAAUCUACGGGCAUCAUGAGUUAUGCUCAUAAGGAUUAAUUUAUUCUUUACUAUUUCAAGUGUGAGCUAUCACUGAUGAUGUCAUGGUUUAGAAACAUCUUGGGUUCAGUUCUGUCUCAGACAGCAUUGCAGACAAAAACUUGCAUACUGUAAAAAGCAUCUGUGACAGUUAAAAAUGCAUUUACUUCGUUUUGGGGCUGACACAUAGCAUAUUUAUUUGAUGGUCCCUCCUGCAUUUGGAGAUACGGAAUUAUUGUAAAUGAGAUUAGAUGCAGAGUUGUGCCAAAAGCUUACAUGCUUGCGCUGAGUUUUGCUAGAUGCUUCUAAGUUGGGUCCUGUGGUAAAAGAAGCUGAGGGUGUACUGCAGCAAUCGCACCAAGAACACAAACACGGAGCAAACUCCCUCCUCUCCAAUGUGUUACACCAAGAGAAGGAACUGAGGACGUUUAACCCAUUUCUCAGGAGUUCUUCAAGAAAAUGCACCCCACCACUUACUGCAGGUUAAGUACACAAUUUGCUCUUUGUCUUGCUACUUUUCUAACUAUGGAAUUACAAGACCUGCUAAUACUGCUAGCUUCGGUACGCAAGAAUGCAGUUGUUGCAGUCCUUUUCUCACUCUGGAACAUUUGCCAAUCCUACAAGUUAAACUGAGUGGAGGAGAAGGAGGAAGACAAAAGCAGAGACCGCUCACAGUAUUGCUAUGUGAUUUUUCUAACAUGCUUAUGGGAACAGAUGAAAGCGACUGUAGUAAAGUGCCCACUCUGCAGGGAAACGUGCUCCUCUAAGGCUCAUUCCAGAAGAAUUUAUCAACUCUCCUCAGCUUGUGACCGCAACAGAGAAAGCAAAACUAGACAAGCACCUCGGAAUCCCUUGCAACAAAUGCAGAGUAUUUCCAGUUGUGGGAAAGUGCUACAAGUGGGUAUUCUUAAAUAAAGAUUAAGACAGCU